GCUCCUCAGUUUUAAUCUUACCAUUUUAUUGUUUUACACAUGCGUUUUCUCUUAUGUGGGAUUCACAUUUUCCUUACCAUCAAUGUGUCAAUAAUAAAUUUUGUAGGCUUAUAGCUGUUGAUUCUUCCUACUACUGAGAGCUUACCUAAAACACCUUUCAUAGUGUCUUCAGAAUAUUCUUUUUGGUAAUGGCUCUGAAAGUAUCUGGUUGGUUAUAAAUUUAAGGCAAAAAGCCUAUUUUGGCGGUUGGCCCAUAAACUAAUAUCAAAUAAUCAAAUAAAUAAGACCUAAAACUUAAUUGGUGGUCAAAUAUACCCUUCAAUUUUUAAAAUAGAUUAAAUAAACCUUUUAUAACUUUAUUCUAAUUCAUUUAGGUCUAAAUUGUUAUUUCACCGUUAAAUACUUAUAAAAAAAUAAUACGAAAUUGUUUUAAAAUUUUUUAUUCAUUUUAAACAAAAAUAAUUAUAAUUAAUAAAAUCAACAUAUCUGGUUCUUCUUCCCUUCUCCUCUUCUUUUUCUUGCCUUCAGAACCCACAUUUCUAUCUUAAAGAUGUAAGCCCCUAGCCUAACCAUUACCAAAUACAAGCCAACUCAAUAGGAGUCGGAGAUUCCAUUCUUGCUCCUUUGAAUAAGAAGAGGCCAUUCUUUAGACCUUUGAAAAGUAGUUUAGUUGCCCAUAUCCCUGACGGGAAGUAGAGGUGAUCAUUCCCUCUUCUGAAAGUCAGUGGUGAUCUCACUUUCAAAAAGCACUCAGCUUAUUAACCAGGGCAGCCGCGUCUACCUUAUAAGGAAAGAGAAAAUUGUUCUCCAUAGAGUGAGGAUUUAAGAACAAAACUCAGUCUCCUUGGACUUACUCACAAAUCAUGCUCAACAAGAUCCACUUCUCUAAAUCUUCUCCAGUUGUCCCCAAGGAACGAGAAAAGCGAAAGCGAACAAGGGCAACGAAGAACAAAGAACUGGAGUGCCAGUGCAUGACCAACAUGGUUUGUUUCAUACCAAAAAUCAAAAUAAACAUUUAUUUUCCUUCCAUUUUCUUAGCAAGCAAACAUGGUUCAUAAAAAUAAUUCCUAAUUAAGUGGUGAAAAGAGAUUAAGUUGUUGAAAUCAGAUGCACACAUGAAACAAGAUGUGCAUUUACCCAAUGGAGAAACAGAAGAACAGUUCUUCUCGAAGAAAGUAGAGACGAUUAUGAAUGGAGAAAGAGAAGGAUGAGAAGAACAGCAGAAGAAAAGUUGAUAGAGAAUUUUUAAUUUUUUAAAAUAUAAAAAUAAUAUUUUAUUCAUGAUUCACUUAUUUUAUUAAUUUUUUAAUGCUGUUAGUUUUAGACAUAUUUAACCGAAAUUGAGACGUAAAGGGUUUAUUUGACCAUUCAUUAAGUUUUAGGUCUUGUUUGACUAUUCGAUGUUAUUUUAAGGGCCAAAAUAGCCUUUUGCCUAAAUUUAAUUUGUUCUUGAGAAAGUUCAUGGAAUCUGAAACUGCCGUGACAUUACUCUUGUUUGUCUAGAAGAAUUUGGUUCUGACAUAUGAAGCUUUGCUUUCUUGCUAAGUUGCUUUUAGAGUACUUCUGAUAUCCUUGUGCAUGUUUCUACUCGCUGUAUGCUACUCUGUAAUGCAAUUCAUAUUUCCCUCAAGACUAAAAAGUGGUAAUUUAAUAUCCAAGUCAAACUUGCCUAAUCUGUUGCGGGGUCUUGUAAUUAAGUGUUGGUUAUCAUUGAUUGUAAUGCAUACCUCUCUUCAGGGACAACUUAAGUUACAUCAGUGUACUAUACUACUAUCUUACUGUCUGGCUUAUCUACAAAAGCUGUCUGAAGAAUGCAGUAUAGUUGUUUUCUUGGUAUUGCGUUUGUUUUUCUAUUGGGAUACAAGUAGGGGUGAGCCAUAAAAAAAAAAAAGAACCAAAAAACUGAACUGAAAAAUUCGGUUUGCCAGUCCAUUCGGUUUGGUUUUGACUCAUAAUAUUUAAAGAUUUCUGUUUGGUUUUGUCCACUUCAUUCAAACUACACUAUUAAUUGAAAACAAAGUGAUCAUAUAAGUGUAGGACAACUAGCGUGAAUUAAACAACUUGUAGCAUGCUUAGGUGAGUGAGCUGGUACAACACCUUCUUACUAGUUUCCAACAUGGGAUGAGAGAAAUUUUAUUUUAUUUUUGUAUUUAUUUUUAUUUUUUUAUUCUUGUGGAAUAAAGUUAAAUUGGCCAUGAAUACUUAACAUG
rnacentral:misc_RNA from 1 species